UAUUUUAAAUCCAAGUCCUUUAUUGUAUUGACAUUCAUCAAAUUGAUACUAGAGCCACCAUCUACUUGAACGUUGGGAAUUAGAACACCAUUAAUUGAUACAUCGAUAGUUGGUGUCCCUGGAUCAAGAUUCAAACUAACUUCAUGAAUUUCUCUAUUACAAGACUUAUAUCUUAUUAAUGAGCCAAUCAAUGUAGAAUGGCAUUCCGGUGCUAUUAUCAAAAGCUACUUCAUUAUGACAAAGAGUUGAAGUACAUCCAAAUCUUUCAAAAUAUCAUACGGUUCCAUAUUGAAAGUGAUUUCUAAUGCCCUCUUUUAUUUCAUUGGUUUUGGUUUUACUCCUUGAGAUAUUAAAUCCUUUCUUGUAGUCAAAAUUACUGUCUAUAUAUUCUUUGAGUUUCUUUCUUCCAAAAGAUUCUUUAAUGGAUAAGACAUUUUAUUCAAAAUUGGGUUUGGUGGGAUUGAUAAAU
rnacentral:lncRNA from 1 species